rnacentral:ncRNA from 1 species
GGCAGGGAUAGUGAUUCGAACACGACAAGCAGUAAGCCUUAACUGUUUCUCUGCCAAUACAAAAUAAGGC